rnacentral:lncRNA from 1 species
UUAUGAUCGGCGAAAGGUAUGGGCUAGUCUAUAUUUUCGUUCAGACAAUUACAUGCGUAUUAAUUUGAUAAUAUACGAUCUCGCUUGACUUUCAAAGGCCAUAAAUCACAAUAAUGUUGACAUUUUACUAACACUAUCGAUACAAAUUAGGAGAUAUUUCUUCACUGAAUCGAACGGUGGGAUUUCUGUGCCGUCAUGUUCUGAACGUACCAAAGAUACUUGAUAGAUAUACGAACCUCCAAAGUAUGAACUAGGGGCCGGUUGAUGCAGUAAUUAUCAAAUAACAGUUAAACUCUUAUAUACCCGUU